GCACUGCUGACGAGUCUCAAACAAGACGAAACAGCUGUCCAGUGC
rnacentral:hammerhead_ribozyme from 1 species